GACGAACGCUGGCGGCGUGCCUAACACAUGCAAGUCGAACGGGGUAAAGAGCUUCGGUUCUUUACUUAGUGGCGAACGGGUGAGUAACGCGUGAGAAACCUGCCUUUCAGUGGGGGACAACAGUUGGAAACGACUGCUAAUACCGCAUAAUGUUAUUUGAGGGCAUCCUCGGAUAACCAAAGAUUUAUUGCUGAAAGAUGGUCUCGCGUCUGAUUAGCUAGUUGGUGAGGUAACGGCUCACCAAGGCGACGAUCAGUAGCCGGUCUGAGAGGAUGAACGGCCACAUUGGGACUGAGAUACGGCCCAG
rnacentral:rRNA from 1 species